CUUGCUUCUAGAGAACAUGGGCUAUCUUUUCUUCUUUUUUUCUCUCUUCUUAUUUUAGGUGGGUAGUAGCAUACCCCUAAUUCUACUGUCGGACACUUGUCCAUUUUUUUCCACUCAGGUGGGUAUCUUUGUACCCCUAAUUCUACUUCGGACACUUGUCCAUUUUUACCUCUCGUCUCACUCCUUUUUUUCUUUUUCUCGAGGUUCGGGGCACUUUCCCCUUUUAUUUUCUCGGAUAUCUUUUUGCAU
rnacentral:lncRNA from 1 species